rnacentral:rRNA from 1 species
AAUUUUGCGCAAUGGGCGAAAGCCUGACGCAGCAACACCGCGUGAAUGUUAAGCCCUUCGGGGUGUAAAGUUCUGUCAGUGGGGACGAAACAUGACGGUACCCACAAAGGAAGCACCGGCUAACUCCGUGCCAGCAGCCGCGGUAAUACGGGGGGUGCAAGCGUUGUCCGGAAUCAUUGGGCGUAAAGCGUUCGUAGGCGGUAUAUCAAGUCUGGUGUUAAAGCCCGAGGCUCAACUUCGGAUCGGCACUGGAUACUGGUAAACUAGAAUGUGGUAGAGGUAAGGGGAAUUCCUGGUGUAGCGGUGAAAUGCGUAGAUAUCAGGAGGAACAUCGGUGGCGAAAGCGCCUUACUGGGCCAUUAUUGACGCUGAGGAACGAAAGCCGGGGGAGCAAAUAGG